UGUGCAGCAGGAAUGUUGGGAAGAGGUUUCUUUCUUUACUGGAAAGGAGUAAGCUAUUUGUUGAAAUUACUGCUCGAUUAGUCCUCUAUUUAGGAAUAUUUGUGUGUUGGUGGGGGGAGAUGUCAGGAAAGUUAACUCAUGCGUACCUCCUUCUCCCAUUUGUUCCUCCAGGCCUGUCUGCCUCCCAGUGUCCUCCUCCCAGUCUUCAGCCCUCUGCCCAGUAGCCCGAGAUGAGCCCACAGUCAAGGUUUUGGGGUAUAUAUGCAGUUUUAAAGGAAAACUGGAUACUGUCGACUCAGAAAUUGCCUCUUUUUUGGAUCAAGGCAAGGUAAGUUAGAGACUUAGUAAACAGGUUUAUAAACGUUGAUUUAAAAGAUACCUAUUUAUCAAGCCCACUUGGCCAGUCAGCUGGCCC
rnacentral:lncRNA from 1 species